rfam:Bacillus badius strain MTCC 1458 Contig15, whole genome shotgun sequence.
GAGAACUAAGAAUCCGAAGAGUCGAAUGAAGGGGUAACGCCCUGAAAGGCUCGCCUAAUCCUCCGAAUAGCGUUCAAUGGUGCAAAACAUUGAGGGUUAUAAGCUCGGUGAAGUCGGUUGAAGGUCAUCCUAACGUGUUAUGACGAGGAAAGCUCUCUGGGGGCAGAGGGUAUGGCUGAUAGACCGGGGUUCUACAAG